GAUGAACGCUAGCGGCAGGCUUAAUACAUGCAAGUCGAGGGGCAGCGGGGGUAGCAAUACCUGCCGGCGACCGGCAAACGGGUGCGGAACACGUACACAACCUUCCUAUAAGUGGGGAUAGCCCAGAGAAAUUUGGAUUAAUACCCCGUAUAUUAUUUAGUGGCAUCAUUAGAUAAUUAAAGCUCCGGCGCUUAUUGAUGGGUGUGCGUCUGAUUA
rnacentral:rRNA from 1 species